rnacentral:RNase_P_RNA from 1 species
GAAGCUGACCAGACAGUCGCCGCUUCGUCGUCGUCCUCCUUCGGGGGGAGACGGGCGGAGGGGAGGAAAGUCCGGGCUCCAUAGGGCAAGGUGCCAGGUAACGCCUGGGGGUGUCACAGCCCACGACCAGUGCAACAGAGAGCAAACCGCCGAUGGCCCGCGCAAGCGGGAUCAGGUAAGGGUGAAAGGGUGCGGUAAGAGCGCACCGCGCGGCUGGUAACAGUCCGCGGCACGGUAAACUCCACCCGGAGCAAGGCCAAAUAGGGGUUCAUAAGGUACGGCCCGUACUGAACCCGGGUAGGCUGCUUGAGCCAGUGAGCGAUUGCUGGCCUAGAUGAAUGACUGUCCACGACAGAACCCGGCUUAUCGGUCAGUUUCACCU